rnacentral:rRNA from 1 species
UGGGGAAUAUUGGACAAUGGGCGCAAGCCUGAUCCAGCCAUGCCGCGUGAGUGAUGAAGGCCCUAGGGUUGUAAAGCUCUUUCGCCAGGGACGAUAAUGACGGUACCUGGAUAAGAAGCCCCGGCUAACUUCGUGCCAGCAGCCGCGGUAAUACGAAGGGGGCUAGCGUUGUUCGGAAUCACUGGGCGUAAAGCGCACGUAGGCGGAUCUUUAAGUCAGGGGUGAAAUCCCGAGGCUCAACCUCGGAACUGCCUUUGAUACUGGAGGUCUCGAGUCCGGGAGAGGUGAGUGGAACUGCGAGUGUAGAGGUGAAAUUCGUAGAUAUUCGCAAGAACACCAGUGGCGAAGGCGGCUCACUGGCCCGGUACUGACGCUGAGGUGCGAAAGCGUGGGGAGCAAA